rnacentral:lncRNA from 1 species
UCAGCAGCUGAUCCAUUGGUGAAGUCUGAUCGGACAACCCAUAAAAAUGGCCGGCCUACAAGUUCAAUACCCAGUGCUAGUUCAUUGAAUUGGUUCUGGCUUAAGAUUGCUAGGCUUCCAAAGGCAACAUAAAUGACUGAGCCAGCAGGUUGCUUAUCGAGCCAGCCUAUGCAAGUUGAAUCCUCAGGCCAAAAGUUUCCAGUAUAAUGACCCAGAUGAUUACUUGCAAGUAACGGGCCUAUUGGUAAUAUGUUGGGUAUCAAGUCACAAGCAGAUGAGUCAAGUUCGUAAACAGAGUUGCAAAGAAGCCAAUUGGAAAGAUUCUUAGCUGGGAUGCAUUGUAGAGCAAGUCGGAAAAGGAUCUCUUGUACGGUUAGAUCACUUGGGCAGCCCCAGGGCAAUCUGUUGCUGCUAAAGGCUGGGAUAUCCUUUGCCAGGCAGAUCAACUCCUCGUUCAAAAGAGAUCCUGCAAAGUUGUUUCAAUUAUUUCCAUUAAAACCAAGAAAAUACUUAGCUACUUCCCCUGAUUUUUAUUUAAUUUUCAGGGGCUAUUAGCUUUAGUCUCUAACUUGUUUUCAAUUACUAGAACCUUCAUGUUUCAACAAAUUUAAUUUUAGAAAUAUGAUAUGUGCAAGUUGAAGUGUUAAUACCAUCAAUACCAUUUACAUGUCCGGCCUCAAUAAGCCUUGGAAUGUCAAAUACCAAAGCCAAGGUUCCUGGUCCACAGGGGCAAAACGCAACGCUCUCGAUCCCCAUCUUCUCGGCAACCUCUAGCGCCCACCCAACUGUUGUAUCAGCAAUAACACAAGUGAUCUUCUCAUCAUCAUUCGAGUUGUUAACCUUCUCAAUCAACUCCUUCAAAUGACCCGGCAUGACUCUUAAAAUACUGUCUGUCGACUUGAGUGGAUCUUUUCGAUCCUCCCCUGGACCCAGUCCAUCUGGGAUCGAGGCUAGCCCAAUCCGACUCCGAGCCUCAUCCUCAUCUGGCAGUGCAGCCACCAGUUUUUCAUGUAUGAAGUCUGAGUUAACAAAGGUGACCUUGAUCCCAUGAUCAGAAAUCUGGUACGCAAACUUCAUAAGGGGAGUAACAUGUCCUUGUGCUGGGAAUGGAAUAAUCAGCACAUGAGGUCGCCUGCCCAUGGUUGCUGCCAACAUGUCCACACACUUCUGCUUCGUCUGAUCCGAAGUUUCAGGAUUAAUACCGAUUCUCUUUAUUAGCCUGAGCCCUCUAUUGUGUGAAUCGUAUACCUAUUUGCAAAAAUUUUAGCUGCAGCCCAUCUCUUACACAUGAACUUCAUACAUUAUCUGAAAGAUAUGGUGUUGUGGCUCAAAUUCUUUGGCACUUGGCUUUUAUCUCCUAUCUAUUCUGUCUUUAUCAAGUGUCUUGCGUGUCUCUCCCGUUACUUUGGUGUAAUUUUAAAGCUAUAUUGCACUGAUAAACUUUUGGUUUCUACAUUACACACUCCAUAUAUGCAUUAAACUUUUUGUUAGUGCAGUCAUUGGAUUGUAGCCAUUUUUUCUACUUGGUUUUUCCACCAAGUUAUUGAUACCCUAUGGAUUUAUUCUCAAGUGCUUCAAGGUAUAUUAUCAGAAGUUACCAUUGGUUGUUUGCUUUGUCUUUUAUCUAGCUAGAACCUCAUAUGUAGCUAGCCUCUUUUUGUUGUUGCAUGAUUGGUUUGAGCUCUUCCUUCUUAUCCCAUGUGUUUGUUGACCAAGCUUGUAUUGAUGUUGAACCUGAUUGAUGCUAGUAGCAAGGGAAAUGAAAAUUUGGACAAUGGCUAGAUUUCACCUUAAUAAUAUCACUCUCAAAUGCUUCUACAUAAUUCCCAAAUACUUUAGCAUAUAUUCUAGCUAGGGAAGUGAUCUCUAGUUUUUUUCUGUCCUUUAUGGAGGGUCUUAAGCAGCCAGCCUCGUUUUCUAGUUGUAUGGCUUUUAGUUCUUGGUUCUUUUCCCAUAUAUUGGUCUUUUUCUCUAUCUUAUAUGCCUUCAAAUGAUCCCAUUUUCCUCUGGGUUCAGCCCUAAACCCACCUUUGUACAUCACAGAUACGGAAGUGGUCGCCAAGGUAAGGACAAACCUUCACCAUUCAGUUCCAAGCAGAGUGGAUUAAGAAACCAGCAAGGACAAACCCUUGGCAUUGAUUCACUCAGCCGGUGGCAGAGCCAAGAAUUUUUCUCAGAACAAGCAUUACAAUAACCCUGGAUGAAUUUUAGAAAUUGCUGAAAAUGAGUAACUUUAGACUUUAGUCAUGAAUAAAUAUAACAUAUCAAAUUAAAAAUUAAAAUUAGAUUUUAUUAACUUACUAGUUAAAAAUUGAAAUUUAAAAAGAAAAUUUUCAAAAAGUUAAAAAAUGGUAAGAAAAUAAGAAAUCUUACUAGUUAUUUCUCAAUAAUUUUAAUAAUCUCUUCCUAGUAAAAAGGUUCUUUAAAAAAUUUAUUUUUUUCCCAAACAGCUACAUAUAAAUGAGUUGGAAGUAAUAAAAUAUUUUAUUAAUAUUUUCCUAUGAUAUAGUAAGAUGUUAAAAUUCCAAGUAAAAUAUAAAUAGUUAGUUAGAGUUUGAUAUUUAUUAUUAUGUAUUAAGGUACCCUAUUCUAACAAAAUUCUAGAGCACCCAAGAGGUAUUGUUUAGAAGAUUUACUAGUAAUAAUUGGAUUUCUGAUUUCAAUCUUCAUAAAGUAAUAGCAAGAACCAAAACUAAUAAAAAGAACUUGAUUAUAAGGUUUUGGUUAACAAUUUUUUUUUCCAAAUAUUAUGAGGUCUAUGCUACAUAUUUUUUGAGAUGACAUUUAAAACCAUUCAAGUACAAUUGAAUUUGUUUGGGUGAAUAAUAACAUUAAAGGAUGUACUUCGAGUUUAUUGUAUGAUGAAACCCUUUUGAGCAGAAAAAAAAAAAAACCAAUUUUGCAUAUGAGUGUAUGCUUGAGACUAUUUCUGUAUAUAUUUGUCAUUUUUUAUUUGUGUUAUUGGUUGAGCUCGCCAGGGUUUUCAAAGUAUAAAUACACCUUAUUUUGUCAAAUAUUUUAAAUACUUGUUUCAUGUAAACUUAUGUAUUUGCUCUUUGGUAUUUAAUGAAUUUGCUUUGUUAGUGUCAAAUUGGGUUUGUGUUUUAUAUUUGUUGAGUUUUUAGUAGAAUGUAAGAGUGAUAUAUUUAUAGAGCUUAAAGUAAACUCUAUGGGUGAUUUUCUGUGUAAUACAUAUCUUUUGUGCGGUUGGAAUUCAUGCAUGUUAAUAUCUAAAUAUCUCAUAUUAAUUCAAGAAAUAUUUUUGUGAAAAAAUUGAACUUUAAGACAUAAAAUCAUUAUUACCUAUGCACCCUCCAUAAAUCUCAAGAAUCAAGAUUCAUACUUUCAAUUGGUAUAGAAGCAUGUUGAAUUUAAAAAAUUAAAAUCUUUUAUUCCUACACAAUCUUGAUUCAUGGAACCACAGUGACCAGAUCAUCAAUGAAAUUUUUAUCAUUGCUUUAUUUGACAAUUUCUGUGGCUAGGAAUACAACUUGAGUAGGUUGGGUUGGGUUGAUGACGAUUUAACAUUUAACACAUUUGGAUAUGGUAGCAUUGGAAAAUAUCUUCAUUGUUUCAGUGCUUCAACAAAGGUUUGGAAAUUCUUGUAAGAAGAUCCACCUUCAAUCACACUUUUUCUAGCCAUUUCCUUCAACUUCUCUGCAUUUGCUUUUAUACCAUCAUCAGAAACCAACUUUUCAAUCUUCUUCUUAAUCUCAUGCCUUGAUAUGAAUCCAUUUUCAUCUGGGUUCAAUUCCAAGCCCACCUUCCAUUUGUCGCAUAUGUAACUCUGGUUAUGGAAUUGAUCUGCAAAGUAGGGCCAGCAUAGGAAGGGGACUCCCAUGCCUAUGCCGUCCAUGGUUGAGUUCCAUCCACAAUGGGAUAAGAAACAGGCAACAGAAGGGUGAGCUAACACCUCUUUUUUUCAUUUUUAAAUCCAAGAUAGAUGCAUUUUGCACGGAAAUGAUGUUGUUUCGCUUGGGUAAAAAUCUCCCUUUUCAAGCCCUAACCCCUCUCCCCUUUGCCCCCAUGCCCAACCGUUCCUUGCCCUCUCCAGGAGCCUUCCUCAGCCCCCCACCUUCGGCACCUCUAGCCAGCAGGCUUGCGCCGACACAGACGCCAAUGGAAGACAGUGACGCCGAUGGACGAAUGCGACGUCGACGAUUUACUAUUUAAAUAUUUAUCAUUUGAUUUAUCUAAUUAUUUUAUUUGAUAUUUGUAUCAUUUUUAAUUUCUAAUUUUUUUAAAUUUUGAUUUUUAAAUAUGGGAUUUUAUAUUUAUGAUUUUAAUUUUUAAAUUUAUGAAUUUAAAUUUCUUAAUUUCGAUUUAAAUCAUUUGAAAAUAAAUUUUUGGUUUAAAAAUAAGUUUUUGGUUUAAAAAUAAUUUAAAUUUUUUUAAUUUUAAAAUAAAUAUAUGAUUUUCAAAUAAAUUCUGAUUUUAUAAAUUUGUGAUUUUAUAUUUAUGAAUUUAAAUUUCUGAAUUUGAUUUGAAUCAUCUUAUUCAUUUAAGAAUAAAUUUUUUAUUUUAAAAUAAGUUUUUGAUUUAAAAAUAAAUUUUAAAUUUUAUGAUCUUAAAAUAAAUAUCUAAUUUUCAAAUAUAUUUUCUAUUAUCAAACAUAUUUUUGACUUUUAAAUAAAUAUAUGAUUUUAUAAAAAAAUUAUGAUUUUUUAAAAUUAUAAUGUUUUGAAUUUAUGUUUUCAAUUAUCAAUUGAAUUUAUGAUAUUAUUAUUAUUUUUUAUCAUUUUUUUAUUUUAAUAAUAUAUGUACACUAUAUAUUAUAUAUUUAUGAUGUCACCUAUUCAAUCGCGGUUCAACACCAUUUCAAUUCAUGAUGCAUGAACCAAUAACUUUUCUAAUUUAAAGACUGAUCAAAAUAUUGAUUAAUAUUAUAUAAAUUGAAUUUAUAACAUUUUUAUAAAUUAAAAUAUAAAAAUUAUUUUUAAAAAUAACUUGCCAAACGCCCCUAUUUUUAUAAAAUACUAAAAAUUUAUUUUUUGCUCUUUUAACUUAAUAACAGUUUUUAAAGACAAACAUUACAAAACAUGGCUAAACGGCCCUUAGCUCCUAGGUUUCAGCAAAAGAUUCAAAACAACUCCAUCUUGUGGCCUCCGUCAACAUGUUUUGUUGCCCAAUUUUUGUGUAAGCUCUAAAUAAUGCUGCUUUCGAUUUUCAAUUGCUCUGUUCGUGCACUUUUUUUUAUAUGUUGCCAUGUAGACAACAGUAUAGUUCUUGAUCCCCCAAUCGUACAUAAUUCUUUGCUCCGCUACUAAUGCAUUACAUCAAAAUCUGUCUUUAAUUAACUCUACCCAUGAUUUUUGUUCACUAAGAUCACAUACCAACCCCUGCACUUGCAUACACAGCAUGAAUGCACUCGCUUUUAUUGAGAGAAUGGUUUCACACAUUUGAAUGUGGCAACAUUGGGAAGCAUCUUCAGUGUUUCAUUGCUUCAAUAAAGGUUUUGAAAUUCUUGUAAGAAGAUCCGCCUUCGCUUACACUCUUUCUAGUCAUUUCCUUCAACUUCUCUGCAUUUGCUUUUAUGCCAUCAUCAGAGACCAACUUUUCAAUCUUCAUCUUAAUCUCAUGCCUCGAUAUGAGUCCAUUUUCAUCUGGGUUCAAUCCCAAGCCCACCUUCCAUUUGUCGCAUAUGUAAUUCUGGUCAAGGAAUUGAUCUACAACGUAGGGCCAGCACAGGAAGGGGACUCCCAUGCUUAUGCUGUCCAUGGUUGAGUUCCAACCACAAUGGGAAAAGAAGCAUGCAACAGAAGGGUGAGCUAAAACCUCUUCUUGGGGUGCCCACGAGACAAUCUUUCCAUGGUCAGCUACUCUCUCAAUGAAACCAUCAGGGUAUUCAGCAGCUGAUCCAUCGGUGAAGUCUGAUCGGACAACCCAUAAAAAUGGUCGGCCUACAAGUUCAAUACCAAGUGCUAAUUCAUUGAAUUGGUGCUGGGUUAAGUUUCCGGUGCUGCCAAAAGCAACAUAAAUGACUGAGCCAGCAGGUUGUUUAUCGAGCCAGCCUAUGCAAGUUGAAUCCUCAGGCCAAAAGUUUGCAGCAUAAUGACCCGGAUCACUACUUGCAGGUAACGGGCCAAUUGGUAAUAAGUUAGGAAUCAAGUCACAAGCAGAUGAGUCAAGUUCGUAAACACAGUUGCAAGGAAGCCUCUUGGAAGAAUCCAUAAAUUGAAUAGAUGUGAGAUAAAUUCGGAAAACCCACUCUUGUACCUUCAGAUCAAUUGGCCACUUCCAGGGCAAGCCGUUGCAGCUCAAGACUGGAAUACCCUUCGACACGCAGAUCAACUCAUCUUUCAGAGGAGUUCCUGCAGAGAUAUUUGAAUCAUUUCUAUCAAAACCAAGAAAUUUCUUAGACAACAAGUUAAUUUUAGAAAUAUGAUAUAAAUUAACAAGUUGAAGCCUUAAUACCAUCAGUACUAUUUACGAUUCCACUCAAUUAACUUUGGAAUAUGAAGUGCCAAAGCCCAGAUUCCUGCUCCCAUAGGACAAAAAAGGACCCCUUCGAUUCCCAUCUUCUCUGCCACCUCCAUUGGCCACCGCUCAAGUGUUAUGUCAGCAAUAACACAAGUGAUCUGCUCAUCAUCAUUCGAGCGGUUGACUUUCUCAAUUAAAUCCUUCAAAUGACCCGGCAUGACUCUUGAACUACUUUCUGUUAUCUUGAGCAAGUUUUUCCGAUCGUCCCCUGGAUCCAGACCAUCUGGGAUAGAGACUAGCCCUAUCCCACUCUGAGCCUCAGCCUCAUGUGGGAGUGCAGCCAGCAGUUUAGCAUGUAUGAAGUCAGAGUUAACAAAGGUGACCUUGAUCCCGUGAUCAGAAAUCCGGUGUGCAAGCCUCAUAAGAGGAGCAACAUAUCCUUGCGCUGGGAGUGGUAUAAUCAGCACAUGAGGUCGCCUGCCCAUGGUCCUUGCUAACUUGCCAACACUUCCACCCUUCUCUUUGCUCUGAUCCCAAGCUUCACUAAUAUUGAUACUAUUUUAUUUGCCUAAGCCCUCCUUGGAACUGCAUUUAUGAAUUUUAUACCUAUUGUCCUCCUAAUUGAGGUGCAAAACUUUUUUCCCUUUCAAAAAACAAAGGGAAUAUGAAGUCCUUGCUAGCUUUUUUAACAAUGAAAACUAGUGGAAGUUCACCGACACUGUAGGGACCCCUCCCCCUGAUGACACGUGGCACACAUUUCUAUCCGGAUUAGCCCCAUCCGGAUUUUCCCAAGAGGACACAUGGCACGCUUCUCCUAUCCGGACUCCCUCAGGAGAGGCACACGACACUCGUAAACAUCACAUCCGGACGACCGACAUAGCCUAUCCGGAUAUGUUUGUCCGGAUCAUUGACUAAAGUAAGUAAGUCUUACUACGUCAUUCCGACAGCUUGCCACGACCCACGUUUCGCCAUCUGCAGAGUGAAAAGACAGGAAUGAUGGCAAGUCACUUCCCACGAUCUCUGACAGCUGCGGCGCCUCCCACGAUUUCUGUCAGCCGCCUGUAGGGUGAUGAUGGCCUUGCCACCACCUAGAGGCAUCAUGACAAGCCAAAAUAUCUCCCUAUCAUUAAAGAGGGAGACAGAGCUUCUGAUACUAUAUAUAUGGACCUUCACACAAGGAGGAAGGUAAGCUUGCGAUACCUAGUAAAAAGCCAACUAAUUAUUCUCUCUAACCAUGGUUGACAAAACCAUCGGAGGGUGUGUCCGAACACCCUGUCCGGACGCCUUUUGCAGGAACGACUGAACCAGGACUCUAUAUUGGUUGAGAUCGUGCGUCCAUUCAUUUGGCAACUACGUGGAUCACCAGGGACGCGAGGCCUCAACAUUGGCGCCGUCUGUGGGAAUUUAUUGAUUCAGUCACCGACAAAUAUGACCACACCUUCUAGAAGCCGCUCGUCUAGUAGGGGAGAGGAAGAUAACUCUGAAUGGCGCCAAGCCAUUAAGAGAAGACAGUUAGCGAGCGAACGACAACUACAAGCUCUCCUCCAGGAGACAGAAAGACUAAGAGAAGAGAACGCUGUGUUGCGUAUAUAGGCUUCAUCGACGGGGCCUCCCCGUCGUCAGCGUUCAAGAGGCCAGGUAGCAAACUCAAGGCCAGACCCAGAGUCAAUAUACCCUGGGACAGCGGGAGCCAUCCCAGAAACAGGCAAUGUUAGACCACAUGAGCCACACACGCCCCUGCACCGAGCUCCCCAUGAGGAAAGCUUAGACUCUACUCAUUUUUCAGCAAAAAGACAACGCGAUAGAAGAUCCCAGUUGUCAAACUCAAUGCGCGCAAGACUAGGCCCACAAGAGCCUGGAAGGCCAAGGCCGCCAGUAGCCACAACCUGGGCAGCACACCCUGACCCUAUGGUCACCCCCAUGGUGCAGAACGUUCUCCCGCACCAUGACCCUAUGGUCACCCCUAUGGUGCAGAACGUUCACUCGCACCUAGCGGUACGACAAGCUGGGAGAAACCUCCCAAACGAGCCACCCAUUGGCUCCAUCAGCAAAAGGUUGGACGACAUGCUCUCCACGCCUUUCUGCUCUCAUAUCAUUCAUUACGAGCCCCCAAGGGGAUUCCUUGUGCCAAAAUUCUCCACAUACGAUGGCUCCAGCGACCCCUUCGAUCAUAUCAUGCAUUAUCGACAGCUCAUGACUCUCGAUAUAGGCAACGACGCGCUGCUAUGCAAAGUAUUCCCCGCCAGCCUACAAGGGUAGGCCCUCUCAUGGUUUCACCGCCUACCUCCCAGCUCUGUUGAUAAUUUCAGAGACCUAUUGGAAGCCUUCGUGGGACAAUACUUAUGCUCCGCUCGACAUAAGCAGAACAUCAACACUCUGCAAAACAUAAAAAUGCAGGAUAACGAAUCCUUAAGGGAGUUCGUGAAGCGGUUUGGUCAGGCCGUACUACAGGUAGAGGCUUACAGCAUGAAUGCUGUCCUGCAGAUCUUCAAGCAAAGUAUCUGUCCAGGCACCCCAUUUUUUGAAUCACUCGCUAAAAAGCCUCCUACGACGAUGGACGACUUGUUUCGGCGUGCGAGCAAAUACUCAAUGCUCGAAGAUGACGUGCGAGCAGCCACCCAACAAGUCUUGGUUGUCGGAUAGGCAUCCAGAAGUGGCACGAAAAGAAGUGCCAAACUUCCGGACCGGCCAAGGCCGUCCGAUCGAAGGCAGGAAGGGCCAAGUCGCCCGGAAAGGCCGUCCCUCACACCCCUUUCCAUAUCCUAUGAGAAGCUUCUCCCUAUGAUCCAAGACAUGUCCGACUUCAGGUGGCCUAGAUCCAUCGGAACGGACCCAUCCAAAAGGGAUCAUAGUAAAAAAUGUGCCUUCCAUAAGGAGCAUGGUCACACAACGGAGACAUGCAGGUGCCUCCAUUAUUUGGUCGAAAGGCUCAUAAGGGCGGGACAUUUAAAGCAAUACCUCCGCUCAGAUACCGGAGAUAGAGAUGCUUCCCGAAAUCACAACUCUGGAGCCCCUAGGGCCCUAGCCGCCCCCAAAGCCGUUAUAAACUAUAUUAACGGAGGCCCAUCUGACGAGGAGUACGACUCCAAACGAAAGAGACAAAAGUUGUUGCGGGCAGCAUCAGUGCGCGAGCGUGUCAACUCCAUCCGGCCUGGGAUAACUGGGGGGGCCCUCGCCCCAUAGAUGGGACAAUCAUUUUCCCACCAGUAGACCCCACCUGGAUAUUGCAGCCGCAACGCAACGCCCUCAUCCUGUCCCUAAAGAUAGGAGACUUCGACGUGAGACGCAUCCUGGUUGACCCAGGCAGCUCGGCCGAUCUUGUGCAAGCAUCGGUCAUUAGCCACAUGGGGCACAGUCUCACAGGCCUCGAAAACCCUGGGCGAAUCCUGUCCGGAUUCAACAGGGCGUCAACUACUUCCUUGGGAGACAUUGUAUUGCCGGUCCAAGCUGGCCCAGUCACUCUCAACGUACAAUUUUCGGUGGUACAAGAUUUAUCACCCUUCAAUGUCAUCUUGGGGCGCACAUGGCUGCACUACAUGAAAGCCAUCCCCUCUACAUAUCAUCAAAUGGUAAGUUUCCUUACCAAGGAUGGGCAAAUUGACCUAUACGGCAGCUAGUUAGCCGCUCGCCAAUGCUACCAGAUAGCACGAGAAGCAGGGACCAGCCAGGAGGAUGCAUCCCUCCCUGAGUCCAGCCAUGCACGUGACCAAUAGCAAUUAUUGAGUUCGGCGGUCAAAGAUCCCCCGACAGCGGAUCCCUUGCAAACGAUCCAAAUUUCAGAAGAAGGUACUCACCUUACGAAUAUCAGUUCCCUUCUAACACCAGAAGAGACCCGGAACAUGCAGAACGCCCUUAGACAAAACCAUGACGUCUUCGCAUGGGCACAUUCUGAUAUGAAGGGAAUUCAUAUCUCCAUUACCUCUCAUAGGCUUAACGUCUUGCCAAUAGCCAGACCUAUCCGGCAGAGGGUUAGACGUUUUCACCCAGACAUACAAAAAAUUAUCCGGAAUGAGAUUGACAAGUUGCUAGAAGCCGGAUUCAUCAGGGAAGUGCAUUACCCGGACUGGUUGGCAAAUGUAGUGGUGGUACCAAAAAAAAAAGGCAAAUGACGGGUAUGCGUCGACUACACCAACCUCAAUAAUGCAUGCCCAAAAGACAGUUUCCCUUUGUCACGGAUAGAUCAAAUUGUGGACUCCACUGCUGGGCAAGGGAUGCUCUCCUUCUUGGACGCCUUCUCCGGAUACCACCAAAUCCCCAUGUCCCCGGCUGACGAAGAAAAGACAGCCUUCAUAGCACCACAUGGUCUCUAUUGCUACAAAGUCAUGCCAUUCGGACUCAAAAACGCUGGCGCCACUUAUCAGAGACUGAUGACGAAGAUCUUCAAACCUCUGGUCGGCCGCACAGUAGAGGUAUAUAUUGACGAUAUCGUGGUUAAAAGCAAAACCCGAGAGGAACAUGUCCUCCACUUGCAAGAAGUCUUCCACCUCUUAAGGAAGUAUGACAUGAAGUUGAAUCAUUCUAAAUGCGCCUUUGGCGUAAGUGCUGGCAAAUUCCUGGGAUUUAUGGUCAGCCAAAGGGGGAUAGAGGUCAGCCCAGACCAAGUCAAGGCAGUCAUGGAAACACCACCCCCCAGGAGCAAAAAGGAAUUACAGCGCCUCACAGGCAAGCUUGUCGCGCUAGGGCGUUUUAUAGCCCGCUUCACUGAUGAACUGCGACCCUUCUUCUUAACAAUACGAAAAGUAGGAGCAAACGGAUGGAUAGACAGCUGUCAAAGCGCUUUUGAAAAAAAUUAAACAUUGCCUCAUGCAACCGCCCAUCCUGAGCAGUCCCCUCCCUGAAGAAAAACUGUAUAUGUAUCUGGCUGUAUCGGAGUGGGCAAUUAGCACUGUUCUAUUCCACUGCCCCUCACCCAAGGAGCAGAAACCUAUCUACUACAUUAGUAGAGCAUUGGCGUACGUAGAAACCAAGUAUUCAAAGAUGGAGCUAACGGCCUUAGCUCUUUGAAGUGCCGCCCAGAAGCUCCGCCCCUACUUCCAAGCCCACCCGGUGGUCGUGCUAACUGACCAGCCCCUUCGCAACAUUCUACACAAGCCAGACUUAACCGGAAGAAUGCUUCAAUGGGCCAUAGAGUUAAGCGAAUAUGGAAUCGAGUUCCAACCCAGGCUGUCCAUGAAAGGCCAAGUUAUGGCUGACUUCGUGCUGGAAUACUCCCGAAGGCCUAUCCAGCGCAAGGAACCAAGUGAAAAAGAGUGGUGGACUUUGCGGGUCGAUGGAGCCUCACGAUCAUCAGGAUCCGGAGUAGGACUCCUACUGCAAUCACCAACAGGAGAACAUCUGGAGCAAGCCAUCAGGCCGGGGUUCUCCGCCUCUAGCAAUGAAGCGGAAUAUGAGGCCAUCCUAUCCGGAUUGGACCUCGCACUGGCUCUAUCCGUCUCCAAGCUCCGGGUUUAUAGUGACUCCCAACUCGUGGUAAGGCACGUUCAGAAGGAAUACGAAGCUAAGGAUGCAUGCAUGGCGCGAUAUCUGACUAAAGUAAAGGACACCUUACAACGAUUCACUGAAUGGACGAUCGAAAAAAUCAAACGAACUGAAAAUGGAUGUGCCGACGCCCUAGCAGGCAUAGCUGCCUCCCUCCCCAUCAAAGAAGCCAUAUUGUUGCCUAUACAUGUGUAAGCCAACCCUUCCGUCGCGGAAACCUCCAUUUGCAAUACCAUUGAGGCAAACCAAGUAGACGGCCAAGAGUGGACAGAAGACAUUAUAAGGUACCUCCAGACAGACACUCUGCCUGAAGAGCCCAAGCAGGCACAUAAGCUCAGGGUGCAAGUCGCCCGUUUCACCCUGAUUGGGGGGCACUUGUACAAGCGAUCCUUCACAGGUCCCUAUCUCCGGUGCCUUAACCACUUAGAGGCCCUGUAUGUAUUAGCUGAAUUGCACGAGGGAGUAUGUGGAAAUCAUUCUGGAGGUUGAUCUCUGGCACACAGGGCCCAUUCGCAAGGAUAUUACUGGACCAUGAUGAAGAAGGAUGCGGUAGCCUAUGUCAAAAAAUGUGACAAAUGCCCAAGGCAUGCCCCCAUACCACAUGUGCCGUCGGAGACAUUGAAGCCAAUUUCAGGCCCCUGGCCCUUCGCGCAGUGGGGCAUGGACAUAGUAGGACCCCUACCAACCGCACCCGCUCAAAAGAAAUUCCUGCUUGUCGCCACGGAUUACUUCAGUAAAUGGGGGGAAGCUGAAGCAUACGUUAACAUCAAAGACAAAGAUGUCACCAAGUUCGUGUGGAAGAACAUCAUCUGCUGCUUCGGAAUCCCCCAAACCAUUAUAGCCGACAACGGUCCACAGUUUGAUAGCAUCGCUUUGCGGAAUUUCUGUUCGGAACUAAACAUCCGGAAUUCAUACUCCACACCGCGUUAUCCUCAAAGUAAUGGGCAAGCAGAGGCCACAAACAAGACCCUAAUAACUGUCCUAAAAAAGAGGCUCGAGCAAGCCAAAGGAAAGUGGGUGGAAGAGCUACCCGGUGUCCUGUGGGCUUAUCGAACCACACCCGGACGUCCAACAGGAAACGCUCCCUUCGCCCUCGCAUACGGUAUGGACGCAAUCAUUCCUACUGAAAUAGGGCUACCCACUAUCCGGACCGAGGUAGGAAGGCAAGAUGAUGCAAAUGUGGAGUUAGGCAGAAACUUGGACUAGGCAGACGAAGUAAGAGAAACUGCAUCCAUCCGGAUGGCGGAUUAUCAACAAAGGGCAUCUGCUCACUAUAAUCGCAAAGCAAGGCCCAUAAGUUUCAAAACUGGAACGCUGGUCCUUAGGAAGGUUUUGGAAAAUACUGCAAAGAUAGGAGCGAGAAAAUUUUAAGUCAAUUGGGAAGACCCCUAUAUAGUAUCUAAGACAAGUGAAAGUGGAGCCUAUCAUCUACAGAAGCUAAACGGAACCCCAUUGCUCCGACCAUGGAAUGUAUCUAAUCUAAAGCAGUAUUACCAAUGAAAGAAAAAUAGAGGUACAAAUAUGAAUAAGUAUGUUUUAUUAGAACUUGUGAAAAUUGUAUACAAAAGUUCUCUGGACUACAAAAUACAGAGAGAAGAUAGCAGUAAAAUUACAAAAAGAAAAGCUCUCAUUGGGAAGGCUUGCCGCGCAGCUUCUCCUCCUCAGCCGGGGGAAUCGAAGGGACGUCCCGCUUAAUACCAUGUUUCUUCAUACAACAAUGGUAGCCAAAGAAGUACAUUUCGUCUACCUGCUUCUGGCAGUCCGCUUCGAGUUCCUCCCUUUCCACAGCAAACUCAGCCUCCAACUCUUCUUUUUGCACUGAUAAACGCGACUGCAAAUCCUCUCUCUGCUUUUUCUCGAUUGACACAUCUGUCCGGAGUCGCCUCACUUCUCCCCUCAGCUGGGCCAUCUCGUCCUCCGCCUCAUGCAGGCGGGCGUUUGUAGAUUCCUCCCGACUCUUUGCCUCAGCUAGCUCUAUCCGGAGAGCCUCGUUGUCAUCCUAGGCAGCGGAUAAACUGGCUUCGGCCUGCUCCAAUCUCAAGCGCAGUUCCUCUUCACUGUCUUUGCGCUGGGAGACGAAGGCCUUCAUAUAAUCGGCAGUCCGCAGCAGGUCCGAAAAAAGAUCGCGUUGUUGAGCCAUGCCACGAAUACCGCUCACCAGCUACAGAAAAACCUACAAACAAGAAGUGCAAAGUUACAACCCAUGUGACAAACACAUCAAUAUGGCAGGAAAAAUCAAGAAGUAAACUAUACCAUUUCCGCCGCUUCAAACAUUUUUGCUGAAUGCACAUCAACAUUUGAGCCGGGUGGAAUCCGUUUCAGCAUCUCUCCCAACUCCGCAUAGCUGAAAGGGCUAGCGGAGAUGCAAGCCGCAUCAUCAACUAGACUUCCCCCUGACAAAACAGUAGGGUGUGACUCCUCUCUCAGGUCCGGGGCCCCAUCAUUCUCGGCCAGCUGGGUCUCUCCGGGUGAACCCUCAUCCAGGACUAGCACCGGGGAGGUUGGGUUUUCUUCUGCCAUCUCAGUCUCACUCCCCUCAUGAUGAUUCUCCUGGACGGAUGAGCAGCUGACUUCGAUGGUUUCCAGAAAACGAUCCUGAAGCCGCCCGAUGAGGCCAAACUUUAAGUCGCGGGCCGGACGAGACCUCCUUGUAGCUGGCCCCUUCACCGGUACAAAGGCAAGGGAGCUUGGCUCAUAAGGAGGCAAACCCUAACUUGCAGCCCCCGUUUCUUCCAUUGGCAGUGCCGUAGGAGGCUACGUUUCAAUACAAGAGGCCCCGGCUACAUCCGCGUCCGGAUGGGGAGAGCCGGGCUGAUUUACUGAAGUCGCUUCCUCAGCCAGAAGAGCCAGCCGUCCAGCCGCUGGCAUUGAAGGCCCCGAAUGGUUUAGACCCGCGAGACAUCCGGAGCCGCUUGAAACAGAGGGCAAGACGGAGGGAUCUGGCGUUCUUAUUGUUACUCCCUUUACAUAAGUUGGAGGUGGUAUCACCACUUCCUUUGGGGGAGUUGGAAGUUUUAUUUCUUUCCCCUUAUUGAGAACCUUCUUCUUCUUUUUCGCUGGGGCGCCAGCAGGUGGAGAGGACGCGGGACAUUUAUUACCAGGAGCCUUCCGCAAAAGUCCUUCUUGCCUUUUCUCUUCCCGUUUGUUGAGACGGGCUUUGCGUGACUGGGUGUCCGCCUUUCGCACCGCCGCGUAGAAUGGGAGAUCUUUGAGAACGAAAUGCUCACCAGCCACCACCUCUUUGGGCAGCCGCCUCGGGAGUAUGUUCAGCAUGUACGGCUGGGGCUCCUGGAUAACCAAGUGAAGAUUCUGCGCGGAGAGAAGCGUUUCACAACUCCUCUCGACCGCCGCAAUCUCAAAAAGCCUGUUCAACCGGUCGAACGUGGCUUUCUCCACCCAUUCUACCAACUUCCCCCUUUUAUCCUUGUCUGCAACCAAGAAAACAAAACAUGUCAGCCACCUAACAAUGCUGACCUAACUCGCAAACCGCAGAAAGACAGGAAGUAACUUAUUCAUACCUGAGACCUUCAAUGACUGGUUGGGAGCUAACUACCUAUCCGGAUGCACCGUCAAACCCGCCCAUAGGCCCUUGACCAGCACAUGACCCUUGGCGGCCCCCUUGGUCGAGUCCGAAAGGCUGGUCACCAACUGAAGGGAUGGAAGGCUAGCGACAAAGCUGAAGAUGUCAUUUUUCACCUUCUUAAUCGAAUAGAUGAAGAGAACCUCCAGCAGUGAGAGGUCCAGAUUGAACAACAUGCUCAGAAUGCUGCACCCCAUCAGCACCCGGACCAUGUUGGGAUGGAUGUAAGCUGGAGGAAUCUGAGUGAAGUGAAGGAAUUCCUUGAACAAUGACGGGAGGGGGAACCGGAGCCCAGCAUUGAAUUGCUCAUUGGAAAAGAAGAUAGCGUUGUCUUCAAUUUUCUCAGUCGACACGGCCUCUCCGUCCGUAAGUUCAAUGAACAAGCCAUUCGGGAUGCAGAAGCGUUCGCGAAACUCCCUCACAUUCAACUUAUCCACGGAUUUCUCAGCAUGAGCAUCUCCGGACGAGCUAGAUGAAGUAGCUUCCUAGUUCGCAGACAUUUUUUAGGCUGGGGCUGAAAUGGAAUUUGCAUGGAGGAAUGCCAACAGUCAAACACAGCAAUCCGACCCCACAACCCUAACGACAAAAACGCUCAGAAAGCCUAAACAACACCAGCAUCCCCAUCUCAAACCUUAACUCUACCGCAAAGAAGAAUCGAUGGCCUACAAAAGGCACAGGGGUGUUGAGGCCUCGCGUCCCUAGUGAUCCACGUAGUUGCCAAAUGGAUGGACGCACGAUCUCAACCAAUAUAGAGUCCUGGUUCAGUCGUUCCUGCAAAAGGCGUCCGGACAGGGUGUCCAGACACACUCUCCGAUGGUUUUGUCAGCCAUGGUUAGAGAGAAUAAUCAAUUGGCUUUUUACUAAGUAUCGCAAGCUUACCUUCCUCCUUGUGUGAAGGUCCAUAUAUAUAGUAUCAGAAGCUUUGUCUCCCUCUUUAAUGAUAGGAAGAUAUUUUGGCUUGUCAUGAUGCCUCUAGGUGGUGGCAGGGCCAUCAUCACCCUACGGGCGGCUGACAGAGAUCGUGGGAGGCGCCGCAGCUGUCAGAGAUCGUGGGAGGCGCCGCAGUUGUCAGAGAUCGUGGGAAAUGACUUGCCAUCAUUCCUGUCUUUUCACUCUGCAGGUGGCGGAACGUGGGCCGUGGCAGGCUGUUGGAAUGAUGUAGUAAGACUUGCUUACUUUAGUAAAUGAUUCAGACAAACAUAUCCGGAUAGGCUAUGUCGGUCAUCCGGAUGUGAUAUGGCGGUCGUCCGGAUGUGAUGUUUACGAGUGUCGUGUGCUUCUCCUAAGGGAGUCCGGAUAGGAGAAGUGCGCCACGUGUCUUCUUAGGGAAAUCCGGAUGGGGCUAAUCCGGAUAGAAAUGUGUGCCACGUGUCAUCAGGGGGAGGGGUCCCUACAAGGGGGGCAACAGAAACCCUAAACACACCCAAAACACGAUCAAAACCCCCCGAAAAAAGCCCUAGAAACCAAUACCGACUCCCAAUCGCAAAGAAACUUGCCCAGCAAGCCAGAAACAACCAACAAAGCAAACACAAACGAGGAAAAGACAGAGAUAGAGAAUGUACCGAGUGUAAACUGGCGAAUGGAGAUGAAAAUCCACAGUGCAGUCACUGUCACGGCACGGGUAUUGCUAGCAGAAACCCUAGAAACUCACUCACAAAUGAAGAAAAACGCAGAAGGCUGAAGAGAAAGCACUACCAGUAGAAAAAUGCAGAAGAAAAAAUGCAACAAUAAAGGGCUCAGUCCGCUAUUUAUAGUGAGACAAACCCUCGGUAUCCCAAACGCUGAGCCGUGCCAUCAUUUUAAAAGACACACUGCCUGGGAAAUCCCAGAGACGGCGGCUCAUCAUAAAUGCUCUUCUUCCUUUUCGCCCCCGCUCGCCACAUGACCCAAUGAGCGCAAAAAGUAACCUCAGUUUCAAAAACAAUUAUUUUUAACCCGCCCAUUCUGCCCAGGCAAAAUCGACAAGUUAAAAGGGGGGCAUUGUAGGGACCCCUCCCCCUGAUGACACGUGGCACACAUUUCUAUCUGAAUUAGCCCCAUCCGGAUUUCCCCAAGAUGACUCGUGGCGCGCUUCUCCUAUCCGGACUCCCUCAGGAGAGGCACACGACACUCGUAAACAUCACAUCCGGACGACCGCCAUAUCACAUCCGGACGACUGACAUAGCCUAUCCGGAUAUGUUUGUCCGGAUCAUUGACUAAAGUAAGCAAGUCUUGCUACGUCAUUCCGACAGCCUGCCACGGCCCACGUUCCGCCAUCUACAGAGUGAAAAGACAAGAAUGAUGGCAAGUCACUUCCCACGAUCUUUGACAGCUGCGGCGCCUCCCACGAUCUCUGUUAGCCGCCCGUAGGGUGAUGAUGGCCCUGCCACCACCUAGAGGCAUCAUGACAAGCCAAAAUAUCUCCCUAUCAUUAAAGAGGGAGACAGAGCUUCUGAUACUAUAUAUAUGGACAUUCACACAAGAAGGAAGGUAAGCUUGCGAUACCUAGUAAAAAGCCAACUGAUUAUUCUCUCUAACCAUGGCUGACAAAACCAUCGGAGGGUGUGUCCGGACACCCUGUCCAGACGCCUUUUGCAGGAACGACUGAACCAGGACUCUAUAUUGGUUGAGAUCGUGCGUCCAUCCAUUUGGCAACUAUGUGGAUCACCAGGGACGCGAGGCCUCAACAGACACUAGAGAUGGAAAACCCUCGUCUCAGAAAUGCAAGGAAAGGGAAGAACGUGAAGAAUUUGAAGACCUUCACACUUGGAUCAACCCUUGUUUUCUUCUUUUCUCCUCACCUUUCACUCUCAACCGUCUGCCCACACAUAUGCUUCCACAGAGCCCUAGCUGCUGCAUUAUUGGCCUUAGAAACCAGCCGCCAGACCAGCCCAACAUGUGGGUUUGAAAAAAAUACUUUCCUGAGCUGGAACCCAUAUAUGGGCAAGCCCAACAAAGUCCAUCUCUGAUUUAUGAAUUUAUUUUAUUACCUCAAAGCUAUAGGUUUGUGGGUCUGGCCCACACUUAUUGUGGUGUAAUCUCCUAUGUGGUUAAUUUGUCUUUAUAGUGUCUUCUAUGGCUCUCCAUUGCACAUGGAACCAUAUUUAAGAAUUUCAUUUAGUUGGCUGCGUUUCAUCUCAUAGUUUUAUAUGACUGUUGUGAGUAAGCUUUUCAGGCAGUGUCCUGGAAAACUAAUAGAAUUUGGAGGAUUGUCUAAUUGAUCCUAAAGAAUUUUAGCUGAGUACAAAUGAAAUGUGGAAUUUCCAUUAUUCUAAGUUUUAAACUUAUAUUUCACUUAACAACUUUUUUUUUUCCUGCAUUACCACCUCAUAUUGGAUUGUAGCCAUCUUUUCUGUCAGUUUUUUCUUCUUUUCUAGUGUUGCUGAUGCAUUAAGAUAUAUAUCUUUUGUUUUAUAUGAUGAGGAAGUUAUCAUCACGUUUUUCCUUCGUCUUUUUUACAUACAAACUCUUAUGUAGCUUGAAUCUCUUGUCUUUUGUUGUCACAUCCCAAAACCCACUUCAAGGGCAUGACAGUCAUUUCACACCUCAAGCCCAAAGGCUCAAAGUGGAAACGAUACAAACAUUCAUAUUAUAACUGAAAAUUUACCAAUUACCAAAUUCCUAUUCAGAGUAGUAUGACAAAAUUCUAAAAUCUCUCCAAGUAUCAACUUUAAAAAAACUAACACAUCAACUAGAGUGUUAUUGUCCAUAUAACUCCAAAUUCAAAUAAUUUAAAUCGGAAUUAAAUUUUAACAUCUAAACAAUGUCCAAAAAUAAAGUUUGAACCAAAAUCCUAACAAAGAAAAAUUCCCAAGCCUAACCAUCACUCCUCGCCCGAACUGAGAGUACCUGAAAAAUUAUCAACGAAGGGGCAUGAGCUCAAUAAGGAACAUCAAUGUAGUUUCAUGGAUCAAAUAUUUUCAAUCAUGUUUGCAAAUAGGAGAUAUAACAUAUACUUAUUUUCAUAAAAAACUUUUGAGUUCGAAAUACUAAUAUAUUCAAACUUUUCAACAAACUUUCUCAUAUCUUUUUCAAAACAAUUUCUCAUCAAAACCAAAUCAAAUGCAUUCAAAAUAUCUUUACUCUGGUUAUCAAAUAACAAAUGGUGUCCAAUUAGGAGAGACUUCACAAAUGAGUGGCUAGUUUCAAAUUUGUUCUAGUUGAGGUGAACAAAACCAAAAGUCAACAAUUGUAACCCGUUGACUAGGAGUCAUAAGGUCAACUAUUAUAACUCGUUGACUAGAGCCACAAGGUCAACUAUUAUAACCCGUUGACCAUAUAAUAUCAACUAUUAUAACCCGUUGAUUAGGGCCAUAAAAUGUCAACAACCCAUUGACUAGGGCCAUAGGAACUAGAGUCAAACACUUUAUUUCAUUAAUUCAAACUUACAAAACAAAAUAUCAUAUCUCCAAAAAUUUUCACUUUUCAUAAAUAAACAAGGAAGAUUUUCAAAUAUACUUUCCAUACAAAACACAUAUUUGAUCCAUGCAAAAAGAUAAAAAUAAUAUUUUUACACUUUUAAAAAUACAAUAUAAAAAGGAAAUUAUUUUCUUUUGUAAACAUCUGCAUUAAUUUCCCUUACCUUGAAGAAACACUCAAAAUCUUGAAGUAUUUAACUCUAAAGAAUUUCCUCUUCACCUAACAUAAUAUCAUACACAAUAUUGAUUAUUGAUUAUUGAUUAUUUAUCCAAACAUAUAAAUUUGAAAAUCCUAAAAAUAUUUUAUUUAGUAUUAGGGAUCCUAAUUAAUUUCUCAUAUUAAUAUUAUUACCAUCCAAUAUUAUUUUCAACUUCCUAAACAAUAAUUUAUUUCCUUUUUUUCUAACUUAUCUAGCAUAAAUCUUUUAAGAAUAUUUAUUUGCAUUAAACUAUUAUUACUAUUAUUUAAAUCUCCUACCGAAACUUAACAAAUACCCCAUGCAAUCCUUUUUUCUUUUUUUUUUCAACAUGUCAAAUCCUUUCUACGCUUCUUUCAUCAUUUUUUUUUCUCUGAAGUCAAAACUUUUAACCUCUAUACUCACAAUUUUAUAUAAUUUUCACAUCCAAAACUAUAUAAUUUUUUUAAAAUUUAAUUUAAUUUUUUAUCUAAAUCUAUUCAUUUGAGUAAUCAAAAUUUAUUGAUCUCCAUUAAUAAAUCAAACUAUGUUCAUAAAUUUUUAAUCUUUGUGACCUAGAAAUUAAUUAAAUGAACUCUAAUCAAAAUUAAGAUAUUCUAAAGAAUAUCUAAAGUGUUUAAAACUAAUUAACGAAUAUAAAAUAUUAAUUUAAAGAUUAAAAAUCUUACCUGAAAAAUUGAUCUUCAAACCCUAAACCUUCAAACCUUCAACCCUAUGCUCUCUGAUCUUUCUGAUCUUUGUGUAAAAGAGUUUUCUGAAUAGAGAAUAUAGGAAAGAUAUAAUUUAUAUAUAGGGGUUUUAAAUACGAAAAAACCUUUUUACCCUUAUUAAAUUACUUUAAUUAAUUAAUAAUUUCUAAAUUACAAUUUUACCCCUAAAUUGGGUUUGGGGCAUUACAUUUGCAUCAUCAGUAUUUGUCUUUUUCUGUUAUAAACAAGCCUAUAUUGAUGUUGAGCCCUCCCUUCUACUUUAUUUAUGUAUUUCAUACAUUAUCUAGAAGCUAAAGUUUGUGGCUCAUAUCAUUUGUCACUUAUCUUGGUAUUUUGUCUUUAUAAAGUGUCUUAUGUGGCUCUCCAUUACAAAGGGUUAUGAAAAAGAUGUGGUUGUAAGGGCAUUCUCUUCUUUAGGUGGUAACUUUUGUUGAAAUCCAAAAAAAAUUCAAAGAGAAAAAGAGAAAAAAAAAAAAAAAGGGUUUCUUAUUAUGAAUUCUCUUGAAAAUACGUGCAACACUAUUACAAUUUAAAUAGACCUAAUAAAAGAAAAUAAAGACUAUUUUACCCUUACUUCUAAAAAUAUAGAAAAUAAUUCUAACAUUGUAACUAAAUAAACAACAAAUUAUUUUUUUGCCCUUCAGAAAAAUUUCCAUCACAUAACUCCAAAACAAAUAAUUUUAUUUUUUUGUAUCCAAUUUCCUACUUUUAGAUUAAAGGAAUCAUUUCAUUCACUAGGGAUGAUGAAUAAAUAACAAAUAACUAUCAAAAAAAAAAAAAAAAACAUAUAUGAAUCAAAGAAAAUGAAUACGAAAUCGAAUACUAUGAUCAAAUAGGAAAAGAAUUAUGUCAUUUAUCUUGGUAUUUUGUCUUUAUAAAAUGUCUUGUGUGGCUCUCCAUUGUCACUUAUCUUGGUAUUUUGUCUUUCUAAAGUGUCUUCUAUGGCUCUCCAUUGCCACUUAUCAAAAGUCUAAUUAAAAGAUAAUUUUUACUCUAAUACCAAGUUGAAAUCCAAAAAACGAUUUAAAGAUAAAAAGAUCGAGAAAAAACAAAAUUUAGGAUUUCUUUUAAAAAUAACUCCAACAUCAUUAGAAUUUAAAUAAACAUAAUAAAAGAACAUAAAAACUAUUUUAAUGUUGUAGAAAGAAAGAAAAUAAUUCUAAUAUAGUAACUAAAUAUAUAAUAACUAAAUAAUACAUAAUUCUAAUAUACUAACUAAAUAUAUCUAACACCUUUUAAGAUUGGAUACCGUAGAUGGGCCCUUUUAAAUAAUAUUUCUUUGAUGUGAGAAUGGGUUUGAUAUUUUAGUAAAAUAUAGUAAAAUAAUAUUUCUUUUAUUAUAUAAAACAUAAAAGAUAGGAUAUAUAUAUACAUAGAAAAUACGAACAUAUGUAAACAAGUUACGCCUCACACAUUUCUCAACUCCAUAUAUAGUAGUAUUUCUCAAGCAUAUAAUAACAAAGGAUGAAAAUGAAGUAGUUGAGAAUUGUAUGAGAAAUAGGUUCUAGUUACAUUGGGGUUCUUCUUGUACUAGGAGUUGUAGAGACAAGCAAAUUAAACUCCUCGUCAAAAAUAAAAAGAAGUAGAACUAGUUUACGUAUCACACUUGAAAUGAAAAUGCAUGGAAGAGAAAAGCCACACCUUCCUAGAAUCUAGCUACAUGUCCCAAUAGUGUUAGGAUUCCAUAUGAGUUAGAAGUAUAAAUUUUGUGAGCUAGCUCACUUUAUAUAUCCCCAUCAUCAUUAAUUUUUCUCAUGCAGGAAAGCCCAUUUCAAUUUUCUAUGGCUGGUGAAGAAAUAAGUGUCCCAAAGCUACCAGUAGGAUUCAUAUUUCUACCCACGGAUGAGGAGUUGGUGACCUAUUAUUUGAUCAACAGGGUGUAUUACAGGCCUCUUCCAGCCAAACCCAUUCAAGACAUUCCUGCAAGUGAAUUUUACGGCAGUCCUUCUCAUCAUCUAGGUACUUUGAUUUAUGAGCAUGAUAUACAUAUUAAAUCCAAAUCAUGUAAAAUUAUGUUUUUAGGAAAACUGGUAGUUCAACAUGGUAUCAAAGUUAGGAAAGAAGGCUCAAACUUGGGUUUUCUCCAAAAGUGGUUGAAUGUCGUAAAAGUUCGACCUACCCACUCUUCAAAUUGAUAAAUGGUAGUUUUUUCCAUUCAUACUUUCAUUCGUUCAUGUACAAGAGAAUAUAUAGAGGGUAAUCACCAUUUUAAGAAUGGGAAGGAAUGAUACAAGGAAAGAAUGAUAUAAGGAAAUAACAACUAAUAUCCUAAUAUCUCAAUAUUCCUAAUAUCUCAAUAUUCCUAAUAUCUCAAUAUUCUUAAUAUCUCAACUUUCCUAAUAUUUAAACAUUCCUAAUAUCUCAACACUAAAUAAUAUAAGGAAAUAAUGAUAUACGGAAAUCAUUCCUAAUAUCUCAACACUCCCCCUCAAGUUGGUGCAUAGAUGUCACACAUGCCCAACUUGUCUAAAAAUUUUGAGAACACUUGACUUGAGACAGCUUUGGUGAGGAUAUCGGCCAAUUGAUCUUCUGAUCGAAUCUUAGGCAAUUCCACAAUCUUGUCAUCCAAUUUUUCCUUAAUGAAGAAUCUAUCCACCUCGACAUGCUUUGUACGAUCAUGUUGUACUGGAUUAUGAGCAAUGUCACAUGCGGCUUUAUUGUCACAAAACAAUUGGAUUGGUUGCCUAGAUAGGUAACCUAAAUCCUGUAAGAGAAGUCUUAGCCAUAAUGCCUCACAAAGUCCUAGAGCCAUACCUCUAAAUUCUGCUUCUGUACUUGAACGAGCGAUGACAUUCUGCUUCUUACUUUUCCAUGUCACAAGAUUACCACCUACAAAGGUAAAGUAACCAGAUGUAGAUCGCCUAUCAUCCACUGCACCGACCCAAUCAAUAUCAAUAUAUACUUCUAUACUCUGAUGAUUAACAUUUUUAGUGAACAAAAUUCCCUUCCCAGGAGCAUUCUUCAAAUACCUCAAAAUACGCAUAACUGCAUUCAUAUGUUGCUCUCCAGGAUUAUGCAUGUAUUGACUCACUACACUCAAUGCAUAAGCAAGAUCUGGUCUUGUAUGAGCUAAGUACAUUAAUCUCCCCACAAGUCUCUGGUAUCUUCCCUUAUCAGUUGAUACUUGAUUAGGCUCAACACACAAUUUCAGACCUUCUUCUAUUGGUGUAUUAACAGGUUGACAUCCUGACAUUCCAGUCUCUUGUAAAAGAUCUAAGGCAUACUUUCUUUGAGACAGAAAAAUUCCUUCACUUGAUCGAGAAACUUCAAUCCCAAGAAAGUAUUUCAGAGGACCUAGAUCUUUCAUUUCGAAUUCUCUAGAUAGAUAAUUUUGCAGAGCUUUUCUUUCUUCAGGAUCAUUUUCUGUAACUACCAUGUCAUCCACAUAUACGAUGAGUGUGGUAAUCUUACCAUGUUGCUUUUUCAGGAACAAAGUAUGAUCUGAAUUACUUUGACGAUAGCCAAAAGCUCUUAUUGACUUUGUGAACCUUCCAAACCAUGCUCUCAGGGAUUGCUUCAACCCAUACAAUGACUUCUUCAAUUUGCACACUUUCUGACAUUGCUUUUUUGACACCAUGCAUCCUAGUGGAAUAUCCAUAUAUACUUCUUCAGAUAACUCGCCAUGCAGAAAGGCAUUUUUCACAUCGAACUGUUGUAAUGGCCAAUCUAGGUUUGCAGCUAAAGACAGUAAUACUCGAACUGUGUUGAUCUUAGCUACAGGUGCAAAUGUCUCUGUGUAGUCAAUUCCAUAAGUUUGAGUGUACCCUUUUGCUACCAGUCUUGCUUUAAAUUGUUCAAUACUACCAUUUACCUUGUACUUCACAGUAUAGAUCCAACGACACCCAACUGGCUUCUUUCCUGGUGGACAUUCUACGAGUUCCCAUGUUUCAUUCUUCUGCAAUGAUUUCAUCUUUUCAUUCAUGGCUGCUUUCCACCUUGGAUCAGCUAAGGCUUCUUGCACACUGUUAGGAAUAGCUACAGUAGAUAAUUGAUUUACAAAUGACUUAUUUGAUUCAGACAAACGAUGGUUAGACACAUAGUUGCUCAUGGGAUAUUUGACUUUGGUAGACAAUUCAGGUUUAUUUGUGGGUUUAGGAAUACCUCUAUUAUGACGGUGUGGUAACCGUUUCAUGAAUGGAUCAGGUUCCAAAUUAAGAACACCUUCAACAGACGACGAUUGGUUUGGUAUUUCAGUGAAGACAUCUUCGGACCCAAAUUGUUGACCACUCAUAUCCAACUCACCCGCUUCUUGGUUCACUAGUUCAGAUUGUCCAGAUUCAUUCUCCUUAGAGAUAUGAUAAUCAUAAUCGAGAGUCUGAAUUUCCUUAUGGUACUCCCCCUGAAGUUCAGACUCAGAUGAAAAAUACAUCGAAUCUUCAUGAAACACCACAUCCAUUGUAAUAUACAUUUGUCGAGUUGGAGGAUGGUAACAUCGAUAUCCCUUUUUAUGCAAUGCAUAUCCAACAAACACACAUUGCAAUGCAUGGGAAGUUAAUUUGGUGCGUUGGUGUUUGUGUAGAUGCACAAAUGCCACACAACCAAAAACAUGAGGAGGUAGAUUUGGGAAAGUUGGGGCAACUACGGCAUUAGUAAGAGCUUGGAGAGGUGUUUGGAAGUUAAUUGAGCUGGAAGGUACCCAAUUGAUCAAGUAUGCGGCAGAUGUGAUUGCUUCUCCCCAAUAAGAUAUCGGUGUUUUUGCUGCUAUCAAGAAAACACGAACAACCUCUAACAAGUGCCGAUUUUUCCGUUCAGCGACUCCAUUUUGCUGGGGUGUAUUGGAACAAGUAGUCUGAUGAAUGAUGCCAUGUCCUUCCAAAUACUUUUGAAGAUCAGAACUUUGAUAUUCUUCACCAUUAUCACUACGCAGAACCCGAACCUUUGCAUUGUACUGAGUUUCAAUCAUUUUAUGAAAUUUUUGAAACAACAAGUUCACUUCAUCUUUGGUCUUCAUCAAGCAUAACCAUGUCAUUUUGGUACAAUCAUCAAUAAAAGUAACAAACCAAUGUGAGCCACUCAAAGUUGGGACUUUGGAUGGACCCCAAACAUCAGAAUGUAUAACCAUAAAAGGAAACGGACUUUUGUUCAAAAUUAACGGAAACGAAACACGAUGGCUUUUAGCCAAUUCACAAAUAUCACAACGGAAACCAGAAAUAUCACUCUUUGCAAACAAACUAGGAAACAAUUUUUUUAAAUAACCAAAGGAAGCAUGUCCCAGACGUCGAUGCCACAACCAAAUUUCAGACUUUUUCUUCUCCCCCUCAGAUCCAUCUGCCAUCAAGGCUUGUUGCAACUUAUUUGAAUCCUUUGACUGCAAGUCCAAGUAAUAGAGUUUUCCCCGCUUAAUACCACAACCAAUCGUCUGUCUUGUUUGGAUGUCCUUAAUCACACAAAAUUCAGGCCAAAAAAUGACAAUACAAGAUAAGGCUGCGGUGAUUUGAGAAAUUGACAAAAGAUUGUAAUCUAAAGAUGGAACAACUAAGACAGAAUCCAAAUUCAAAGUAUCAGUAAGAGUUAAGGAUCCUUCCCCAAUGACUGGGGUUGUGUUACCAUUGGCUGUGGAAACAAUUUUUUGUGAGGAAGGUCUAAGGGGUGAAACCUGUCUAGAAUCAAAAGUCAUAUGAUCUGUAGCACCAGAAUCAAUUAUCCAUGCACUAUUAAUAACAGGUGUAAAAGUAUUUAAAAACUUACCACCAUGAUCUGUAGCGGCUACCAAUGCAGAGGCUUUCUCAGCAACAUUAACCUCUGUUUUUAUUUCGGCAACAGUUGCAAUCGAGGUUUUCUUGGAAUCCUUCUUCCGUUGAUCACGAUUAUUAUCAUUAAUAAACAAAGUGUUGAUAGCCCUAACAUGAUCUAAAGGUCCAUNNNNNNNNNNNNNNNNNNNNNNNNNNNNNNNNNNNNNNNNNNNNNNNNNNNNNNNNNNNNNNNNNNNNNNNNNNNNNNNNNNNNNNNNNNNNNNNNNNNNAAAGGUCCAUGGUCAAACCCUCGGUUCCUCAUUGUUUUCCUGGUCAUACCAAGAGUCGUUGCUUUGAAAUUAUGGGAUAUCCAGAUUGGUGGGAUCAAUCGUAUUGCAGUGAGUGCAUUUGAAGGUUGACUUAUCAACAUUAGGGCUUGUCUUAGGAUGGAUGAUCACUGUCGGACUACCAUAGCGACAAAAUAUUCAGGAUUUCAGUUUCAUGGCUCUGAUACCAUCUUCAAAUUGAUAAAUGGUAGUUUUUUCCAUUCAUACUUUCAUUCGUUCAUGUACAAGAGAAUAUAUAGAGGGUAAUCACCAUUCUAAGAAUGGGAAGGAAUGAUACAAGGAAAGAAUGAUAUAAGGAAAUAACAACUAAUAUCCUAAUAUUUCAAUAUUCCUAAUAUCUCAAUAUUCCUAAUAUCUCAAUAUUCUUAAUAUCUCAACUUUCCUAAUAUUUAAACAUUCCUAAUAUCUCAACACUAAAUAAUAUAAGGAAAGAAUGAUAUACGGAAAGCAUUCCUAAUAUCUCAACACCCACACAAACCAUGUUUUCCAAUGCUGUUCUUUUCCUUGACGAUACAAUAAGUGGGAUGGUAAAAAAGUUUAUUGGAUGUUUGGCUUAACUGCUUUUCAACUUCUUUAUUUGAUUCAUAACAGCAAUCUCAUCAAGCAGAGAAAGGGAGUAUUUUUUCUUUAUUCAAGGAGAUGAUCAAGGAGAGGAAAUUCGAAUGGUUGAAGAUGGAAGAGGGUUCUGGAAAUUGAGUGGAGAUGAGACUCCGAUCUAUGAUUCAGAUGGGAACAUCUUUGCCUUCAAGAUUUAUUGGACGUAUUUAUCAGGAUCGCUUCAGAAACCCAAGAAAACACAUUGGAGAAUGGAAGAAUAUCGACUUCCCCUUCAUUGUUACAUGGACCAUGAUUUCAAGGUGGGUGAAGAAAAUAAAAAGGAAUGACCAACAUAUGCAAUCUCGUUAUUUUUAUUGGUUUUCAUAAAUAUAAAAAUUUCAAUAUCAAAGAGAGUUUCCUCUUUUAUUUUUUUUAAAAUAAAAUGUGAAAGCAUUUUUAGAAAAUAAAAAUUUAAAAAUAUUUUCCAAAUUAAACACAAUUUAUUAUUAUUUUUUUUCAUUUUUCAUUUUUGUAUUCUUGUUUUUUGCAGGGAGAAAAAUUGGUAUUGGGAAGAAUCAAACGAAGCAAAGAUUAUAUUUCUUGGUUGUAAUUAUUAGGGAACAUGAUAUGUAUAUUGAAUUCAAAUUCUGUAGGCUUAAGUUUUUAGGAAAAUUAGUAGUUCAACGUGGUAUGAGAGCUAGGGAACAUGAUAUGUAUAUUGAAUUCAAAUUCUGUAAGCUUAAGCUUUUAGGAAAAUUAGUAGUUCAACGUGGUAUGAGAGCUUGAUUUAGUGAAAAGUCUUGUAUUCGAGCUGUCUCUUUAGAAUUCACAUUUUCCCAUAUGAAUCUAAAUUACCAAAAUCAUGUAAACUUAAACUUAUAUAGGAAAAUGAGUAGUUCAACAACAAAGUUUAUUUUAUUUUUUAGAAAAAUUGGUAGUUUAAUAUUAAAGUUUAUUUUAUUUUAUUUUUAUGUUAUUCUUUUGAUAAUGGGAUUUAAUUUAUUUAAGAUUAAAUUUAUGUUUGCAAAGUUGAAAUUAUUUAGUAAUUUAUGCACAACACUUAUUCUUCUAUUUUCUUGAUUCUUGAUCGAUUAUUUUCAUGUUGAAAUAACAUGUUGUAAAUUUUUUGAAAAAAUAUCAAUUAAAAAAAUGGUUAAUUUCGAGGACAUUGAAUUAAUUUUUAUAAUAAAAUUUAAAAUGAUUUCCUAUAAAUUUUAAAUUAGUUUUAUUAAAUAAAUGUUAAAAUUAAAAAAAAAAUGUUUAUUUUUUAUCUUGAAUUUUAACCUCAAUCUUCUCUAGUUUGAAAAUCAUUUUAUAGUAAAGACAACAAAAAGCAUAAAAAAUAAAUAAAUUUCUUAUUUUAAAAAAAUAAAUGAUUAAAUUAAAUUUCAAAUUAAUUUAAUAUAAAAUAGUAAUUGUUUUUACGCUUGAAAGUUUUUAUUUCACUUAAUUAUAAAUAAUAAAAAUGAGAGUAUUCUUUAAUCUAGAAAAGGAUAGAAAAUUUAUCCUUCUAAUGAGAUGAUAGUGUAAUGAUUAUAUUAUUUUAAAUUAUACAUAUACAUCACUUAAGAAAUUAAACAAAAUAUAUCAUUUUGAUAGUAAAUAGAAAUAAAUUUAAGAAAAAAAUUAUUUUCUAAUAAUUUUAAAUUUUAUCUUAAAAUAAAUUAAAAGAAUUCAAUUUUUCUAUUCACCUUUUAUAAGAAAUUAAAAUUUUAGUUUUCCAUAUUUCAUAUAUUUUUUUUAAAUGAAAAGAACCUUUACAAAUAAAUUGAUAAAUAAAAAAAUUAAUUUUAAGUCAAUGGAUGAUAAUUUUUUUUCCUUCAUUUUUUAAGUUUAUUUUCAUAAAAUCACAUGACUUAAUUGAUAUUCUUAAACUUGACUAAAAAUUUAACACUUGGUUUUUAAUUUCCUAUAGAUUAAAAAUACAAAUAUAAAUAGAAAUUUUUUUAAGUGAACUGAAAUCAAUAAUUUAUUUAUUUUCAUUCAAUUUUUAAUUAUAGUAAAGAUAAAGUAAUUAUAUUGGAAAUUAAUAAGUGCAUAAAUUUAUAAAUAUUUUCAAAUUUGUGGAUAUAAAUUUUAUUUUUCCAUGUUAUUAAAUCUAUCUAUUUAUGUUAUAUUCUCUCUACAAAAGAUUUUCUUCACUCUCGAUUAUUUGACAUUUUAAAAAAUUUAAUUAAAUAAAAAUCAUUUUGAAAUUUCUAGAAAUUUAAUUAAAUAAAUAUCUAUUUCAUAUAUUGCUUUUGCAAUUGAUAUUGAGACAUGAAUUUUAGCCUUUAAGAAACUUUCCCAAACAAAGCGUUAAGUUCAUUAAAGCAUCAAAAAAUUAACGCUUGGCAUGGAAUAAGCACUUUUCGGUACUACCAUACUGAAUAUUUUCCAGGGUCUUUGCUUUGGAAAUGGCUUUAAUCAAUCCUUGAAAGUUGGAUCACAUAAUAUCUUGUGUCAAAUCCAGCGCUCCUCAACAAUCUUCAUUUUGAAAACAAUCACAUUUUCACAAUGAAACUCUAUGGAAAAAUUUCUUUUCUAGCUCCUUUAUUAUGAUUUUUGCAGUAACAAACUUUUUUUUUGCUCUUUCUCUUUGUCAGUGAGUUAGACCAUAAAGUUUCGAUUCAUAAUUUUGUUCCAAACAUUAUAUGAUCCACAUGAUGCAUUUUUUGAGACUAAUUUUGAUACAACUUUUAAUGCUAGUAUUCAUCCAAACAAACUCAUUCAUAUUUACUUGAACGAUCUUAAAUAUGAUCCUCAAACUAAAAAACCAAAUUUGCAUAAUAGCAGGUGCUUAACACCUCUGGUGAGUGCUUAACACCCCUGGGGAGUGCUCAAGUGUUCAAGACUAAUUUUAUAUUUUUUUGUCAUUUUUAUUUUUUUUAUUUUUAUUUUGUUAUCGAUUUGGCUUGCUAGAGUUCAAAUACACCCUUUUUUUUUUUCAAUAAUUUUUGAAUGUUUUAAAUAUGCUCUAGAACAAUAUUGUCCUUAUUCCCAUUGAGGCUCCAAGAACCUCAUUCUUGAUAUAGAUUUGUUGGUGGUGGUGGUUGACUACAUCCCAUUGAGGCUUUAAGGAGUUCACAAUGGAGCACACUGUGUUGUGUUGGCUCCAAGAACCUCAUUCUUGAACCUCAUUCCAAGAACCUCAUUUCCCAAAGAGAGGAUGGCCGGGCUGCCCCCACUUUCAGUCCCCAUUUUCCCCCCAUUUUUUCUUCUUCAGUUUUUCUAACAGAGACACGGCAGCCCAGCCCCGAAUUUUUUUCUCUCUUUUCCCCCUCUCUGCAACUCCACUUCGAUUCAGAGCAGCGCCCAGGGAUUCACUUCUUUUUUAUUUUUUAUUUUUCAUCAUUCCAUUCACUCCACUACACCUCACCGGCCGAACACCCCUUCAUUUCUUUCCCAUUUUUUUUUUCCUUUCAUUCUCCAUUUUUUUUCCUUAUUUUCUUUAUUAUUAUUAUUAUUUUCAAAAACUCAACCCCUCACCGCCGUCGGGACACCGAUCAGUCGCCACCGGCGAGCCACUGCCGGUCGGUGAUCCCCUUCCCAUCUCACCCUUUCCAUUACUAUUAUUAUUAUUAUUAUUAUUAUAUUAUUAUUAUUAUUAUUAUUAUUAUUAUUAUUAUUAUUAUUAUUCAUUUUUCUCGAUUUGAUUAUAAUAGUAAUUGUUGUUUAUGAUACUUGAAUUGUUGAAUUAAUACAAAAUUUGAGUUAAUUUGUUGGUGGUGAAUUAAUAUGAAACUUGGGCUAUUUUUGUUUUUGCAUGGACUCGUUCUGCGAACUUGUUGGCUGAGUAUAAAUUUAUGACACGUGAAGCACGGAAUUUCAUGGAACAAAGUGAGACUCGAAAAGCUGUAAAUGGAGCAUUAAACUUAUUGUAAGCCUAUUGGGGUACAUAUUUGAUUUCUCAUUUAUAUUCAGUUUUAUUUUUAUUGAUUUCUGUAAAUAUUUAUCUAUGUAUAUUUACUUGUGUGUACAGAAUUGAAUAUUGAACAAACUAGAAAUUUUGUUUAAAUGAGAGGAAGAAUUCAGUAAAUGUGUUUUGAUGAAACAAUAAUUUUAAAAUAUUAUUUUUAAUAAAAGAAAGUUUUUUUUUAUUAUUUAUAAAAAUUCAGAAAAAUGCAUUUAGAAAAAUCCAAAAAAUUGUUUUUAAUAGAAUUUGAAAUUUUUUUUAAUGACAUUGUCCAAAAAUUUUUUUGUUUAAUAAAAAUUGUCCAAAAAUUGUUUUGUAAAUAAAGUUGUCCCAAAAAUUAAUUUUUAAUAAAAUUGUCUAAAAAUAUUUUUUCAAAUGAAUUCUUUUUCUUUAAUUAAAAUGGGAUUAAAAGUGUUUUUCAGAUAUAGAAGAUUUAAAUAUUUGUUUUUCUUUUUAAUUAAAAUUUCUUUUGCAAAUAAAGUUAUAUCAUUUUAAAUAAUUUGUAAAAAUCACUCUUUUAAAUGAAAAUAAAUCUAAAUACUUUUGUAAAUAAAAUUGUAAAAAUUCAUUAUUUUCUAGUAAAAGUAACUAAAAAUAAUUUUUGUGCCCAAAUUGAAAUUUUGUAAUAAAUUCUUUUGAUACUAAGUGUAAAUAACUUUUUUUGAAAAUUGAAUAUAAACGAAGUUGAGAAAAUAAAUUGAUUCUUUUUUUGUAAGAAAAUAAUUUAAAAUCAUUAAUUUAAAAUCAUUUUUAAUAAAAUCCUUUGAAAUUUCUUUAAAACUUUUUAAAAUAUCUUUUAUUUAUUUAAUUCAAUAAAUCAUUCUGUAUAAUUCUCUCAUUAUUUAUUUUGUGUAUUUUCGUAAUUAGAUUUCAUCAUUAUUUGUGUAUAUUGCUUUUCACUAUGACUUGUACAUGCUCAUUUGCUUGAUUAUUAAUUUUGGUAUCCAUGAUUAAUUAGUUAAUUGUCACCAUUACUUCAUUUUAUUAGUAGAGACCCGAUUUUAGGGAUUUAGAGGGGUGUUGCGGUCUUUACUGUACCUUCCCGAUAAGUAACCUGACCCCCGAACUUGAUCCGGUUUUUCACAGAUCACCUUUUCCAAAAUAAAGAGUCACACUUAGGGUUUUUAUUUCUUAUUUUGUUUUCCCUUUAAAAAAAUUAAAAUAAGUGACGACUCCAAGUCUUUUUUCUAAGAAUCAAAUUUUAUCAAAUAAAACAAAAAGCGAGUUUCGCUAUCGAGUAGGAACGCAUGAGUCGAAAAUACAGGGUCCACAAAGACCCUUGAGAGAAUAUAGGGUUUGAUUUAUGUAAACUUGUGUAUUUGAUCUUUCAUAUUUAUUGAAUUUGCUUAAUUUGUAGUCGAUUAGACUUAUGAUUUUUACCUCAAUAGUGUUUUUUUAUUUUUUAUUUUAUGUAUAUUGGUAUGUUUGGUAAUUAUUUUCAAGAACAUUUUUCUUUUUUUUUAGAGCAAAAAAAAAAAAAAAAACAUGUCUCAUAACCAACAAGCUAUUUUCUAUUUUUUGUUCUUAAAAACAAAACACAAAGUAUUUUCAGAAAAUAAUAUAUUUUAGUUGUUUUCACUUAUUUUCACUUGUUUUCUAGAACCGUUUUGAAGAAUAAUUAUACAAACAUGUAAAAUGAUAAAAAAAUAAAAUACUAGAUAUAAAAAUUAUUUUUAAAAAUAUUAAAACAAAUUGAAAACAUUUUAGAUUUCUAGAUAGACUUUUGUUUUACAAAACAUAGAAAAUAGUUUUCAAAAACUGAUUUUCAGAAUUAUUUUUGAAAACAGUCACCAAAUAUGGCAUAUUAUGCCUUUUGUGCAACUAAAAUUCAUUUUAAUAUCUAUAAAAUGUUAUUUGUGAAAAAUUUGAAAUUUAAGACAUCAAAUCAUGGUUACCUAUUCACUCUUGUGUUAAUUUUAGGAAUCAAGAUUUGUACUUUCAAUCGGUAUCAAAGCAUAUUGAAGUUAAAAAAUUAAAUUUUUUAUUCUUGUAUAAUUGUUAUCUAUAUAUCUUAUAUUAAUUAAAGAAAAUAUUAUUUUUAAAAAAUUUGAAAUUUAAGACAUAAAAUGAUGACUACUUAUUCAAUCUCAUGGUAAUUUCAGGAAUUAAGAUUCAUACUCUCAAUUAUUAUCAAACCAUAUUAAAGUUAAAAAAUUAAACUAUUUAUUCCUACAUAAUAGUUGUUCGAUGGAACCACAAAGAGUACAUCAUCUAUAAAAUUUUUAUCAUGGUUUGUCUCAACAAUCUCCGUACCUAAUUUUCUUAGAAUAUACUUUAUAAGAGUAGGACAACAACUCGAGUGGGUUGGGUUGAGUUCAUGGCUAAUCCCACAUCAACCUAUUUCAAUGGGAGAUUGAUUCAACACAUUUGAAUAUAGUAACAUUGGGAAACAUCUUCAUUGUUUCAGUGCUUCAACAAAGGUUUGGAAAUUCUUGUAAGAAGAUCCACCUUCAAUCACACUUUUUCUAGCCAUUUCCUUCAACUUCUCUGCAUUUGCUUUUAUACCAUCAUCAGAAACCAACAUUUCGAUCUUCUUCUUAAUCUCAUGCCUUGAUAUGAAUCCAUUUUCAUCUGGGUUCAACCCCAAGCCCACCUUCCAUUUGUCGCAUAUGUAACUCUGGUUAUGGAAUUGAUCUGCAAAGUAAGGCCAGCAUAGGAAGGGGACUCCCAUGCCUAUGCCGUCCAUGGUUGAGUUCCAUCCACAAUGGGAUAAGAAACAUGCAACAGAAGGGUGAGCUAACACCUUUUCUUGGGGUGCCCAUGAAACAAUCUUUCCAUGCUCAGCUACUCUCUCUAUGAAACCAUCUGGGUAUUCAGCAGCUGAUCCAUUGGUGAAGUCUGAUCGGACAACCCAUAAAAAUGGCCGGCCUACAAGUUCAAUACCCAGUGCUAGUUCAUUGAAUUGGUUCUGGCUUAAGAUUGCUACGCUUCCAAAGGCAACAUAAAUGACUGAGCCAGCAGGUUGCUUAUCGAGCCAGCUUAUGCAAGUUGAAUCCUCAGGCCAAAAGUUUCCAGUAUAAUGACCCAGAUGAUUACUUGCAAGUAACGGGCCUAUUGGUAAUAUGUUGGGAAUCAAGUCACAAGCAGAUGAAUCAAGUUCGUAAACAGAGUUGCAAAGAAGCCAAUUGGAAAGAUUCAUAGCUGAGAUGUCUUUGAAAGCAAAUUGGAAAAUGACCUUUUGUAAGUUUGGAUCACUUGGGCAGCUCCAGGGCAAUUUGUUGCUGCUAAAGGCUGGGAUAUCCUUUGCCAGGGAGAUCAACUCGUCGUUCAAAAGAGAUCCUGCAAAGAUAUUACAAUUAUUAAUUUCCAUCAAAACCAAGAAAAUACUUAGCUACUUCCCCCGAUUUUUAUUGAAUUUUCAGGGGCUAUUAGCUUUAGUCUCUAACUUGUUUUCAAUUACUAGAACCUUCAUGUUUCAACAAAUUUAAUUUUAGAAAUAUGAUAUGUGCAAGUUGAAGUGUUAAUACCAUCAAUACCAUUUACAUGUCCGGCCUCAAUAAGCCUUGGAAUGUGAAAUAACAAAGCCAAGCUUCCUGGUCCACAGGGGCAAAACGCAACGCUCUUGAUCCCCAUCUUCUCGGCAACCUCUAGCGCCCACCCAACUGUUGUAUCAGCAAUAACACAAGUGAUCUUCUCAUCAUCAUUCGAGUUGUUAACCUUCUCAAUCAACUCCUUCAAAUGACCCGGCAUGACUCUUAACAUACUGUCUGUCGACUUGAGUAAAUCUUUUCGAUCCUCCCCUGGACCCAGUCCAUCUGGGAUCGAGGCUAGCCCUAUCCGACUCUGAGCCUCAUCCUCAUCUGGCAGUGCAGCCACCAGUUUUUCAUGUAUGAAGUCUGAGUUAACAAAGGUGACCUUGAUCCCAUGAUCAGAAAUCUGGUACGCAAACUUCAUAAGGGGAGUAACAUGUCCUUGUGCUGGGCAUGGAAUAAUCAGCACAUGAGGUCGGCCCAUGGUUGCUGCCAGCACUUCUGCUUCCUCUGAUCCCAAGUUUCAGGAUUAAUACUGCUUCUCUUUAUUAGCCUGAGCCCUCUAUUGUGUGAAUCGUAUACCUAUUUGCUAAAAUUUUAGCUGCAGCCCAUCUCCCAUUUAUGAAUUUCAUUCAUUAUCUGAAAGAUAUGGUGUUGUUGCUUUUAUCUCCUAUCUAUUCUGUCUUUAUCAAGUGUCUUGUGUAAUGGCCCAAACCCAAGGGUAAAAUCAUAAUUUAGAAAUUAUUAAUUAAUUAAAGUAAUUUAAUAAGGGUAAAAAGGUAUUUUCGUAUUAAAAACCCCUAUAUAUAAAUUAUAUCUUUCCUAUAUUCUCAAUUUAGAAAACUCUCUUACACAGAGAUCAAAAAGAUCAGAGAGCAUAGGGUUGAAGGUUUGAAAGUUUAGGGUUUGAAGAUCAAUUUUUAGGUACUUUCAAUUCGGGUGAAGAGUGAUGGCUAGGCUUGAGAAUUUUUCUUAGGAUUUUGGUUCAAAUUUUAUUUUGGACAUUGUUUAGAUGUCAAAAUUUAUUUUUUCGUUUAAAUUAUUUAAAUUUGGAGUUAUUUGGACAAUAACACUUUGAUUGAUGUGUUAAUUUUUUAAAAGUUGAUACUUGGAGAUUUUAGAAUUUUGUCCUAUUACUCUAAAUAAGAAUUUGGUAAUUGGUAAAUUUUCAAUUACAAUACGAAAGUUUGUGUCGUUUUCACUUUGAGCCUUUGGGUUUGAGGUGUGAAAUGACUGUCAUGCCUUUCGAGUGGGUUUUGGGGCGUGACAUCUUGUGUGUCUCUCCCGUUACUUUGGUGUAAUUUUAAAGCUAUAUAGCCUAUAUUGCACUGAUAAACUUUUGGUUUCUACAUUACACACUCCAUAUAUGCAUUAAACUUUUUGUUAGUGCAGCCAUUGGAUUGUAGUCAUUUUUUCUACUUGGUUUUUCCACCAAGUUAUUGAUACCCUAUGGAUUUAUUCUCAAGUGCUUCAAGGUAUAUUAUCUGAAGUUACCAUUGGUUGUUUGCUUUGUCUUUUAUCUAGAACCUCAUAUGUAGCUAGCCUCUUUUUGUUGUUGCAUGAUUGGUUUGAGCUCUUCCUUCUUAUCCCAUGUGUUUGUUGACCAAGCUUGUAUUGAUGUUGAACCUGAUUGAUGCUACUAGCAAGGGAAAUGAAAUUGAAAUAUAUAUUCUUUCUCAAUGUUUUAAAUAAAAAUUAUGUUUCAUUCAAAUAUUUCAAUUUAAAAAAUCAAAAUUUUCUUGUCUUAAACAAUAUUCAUUAUCAAAAUAUUUAAAAUUUUGUUAUAUUAUAUUAUUUAAUAUAUGAAAAUAAUUUAUAUAUAUAUGUGUGUGUCCUAUAUGUUAACUUAGGAUUUAACAUAUUCUAUAUGGAAGAUAUAUAAAAAAGAGAUCAAACAAUAUAUCACAAUACUUAUCCUAUAUCAUAUUUGGUUGAACAUAAGAAAAGAUAAAUUAUAAAAUAACUUAUCCUAUCCUAUUACUAAUUAAAUAUGGGAUAAGAUAUAUUAUCUUAUUUUUUAUCUUAUCUCAUACUAUAUCUAAUUAAUUAAAUAUAGUCCAAAUAUAAAUUGUUUUGUGGGUGAUUCUAAUCAUCUUGAUCAUAAAAACUACCAAAAAGGUCGUGACAAAAAGAAAGAAGAUUCAUAGGCUUAUCCAAUAACAAGUAUUAAUAUUCAUUUUCAUAGAGACGUGUUCAAAUCAUCUAAGGCCAAAUUAGAGAUAAAUAAAUAUUGUAAAUUUUGUCAUAAUUAAUUGAAUACAUUUUUUUUUCUAUAAUAAUAAAAUGAGUUCAUUGAAUAGAGAAACAAAAACAAACAUGUUUCCAAUGAACCUAUGCUCAAAUCUUUCCAAAAUUUAAAAUAUAGAAUAUAUUAAAAUGCUAUGGUCUCUUCUCUGCACUCCACUACAUGAUAUAUUUUCAUUUAUUUAUUUAUUUGGAUAAACUUGCUUGAUCCAACUCAUUUACAUCUUUGAUUCAAAUGUGGGAGUCGGUCAGGGCCCCGGAGGGGCACAUGCCCCCCUUAAAAAAAUAAAAUCAUAAUAAUUUAAGCCAUUGACUUACUAUUUGAGGAGAAAACAUGCUUUUCAAUGCACUAUAUAUCAUAAUUUUUUAUAAUAUGAACAAUAUAAAAAAAUAAAAGAUUGUGAUGUAUUCAAGUAUUGAAAUACCACUAGAAACCAAGGUUUAAAUUUGAGUUUUGGACUUUGAAAUUUAUGAAAAUGGGGUCAAGCAGAAGAAAGAUUUUUGGUAGCCAACCAAGGCAGAAUCAGUUUCUUUGGCUGCUUCAUCUUUCAUUUAUUUCCUUUUCCCAUUAAAUUAUUAUUAAUUAUCUAACAACUUAUGUUGAAUAAUGAAGGGCUGCCCCCACUCUUAAUUACAAUACAAAAUUGGUAGUUGUUUUUAAAUAUUUAGCAUAUAUCACUCUCAAAUGCUUCUACAUAAUAAUAUCACCUUAAUAAUAUCACUCUCAAAUGCUUCUACAUAAUUCCCAAAUACUUUAGCAUAUAUUCUAGCUAGGGAAGUGAUCUCUAGUUUUUUUUUUGUCCUUUAUGGAAGGUCUUAUGCAGCCAACCUCGUUUUCUAGUUGUAUGGCUUUUAGUUCUUGGUUCUUUUCCCAUGUAUUGGUCUUUUUCUCAAUCUUAUAUGCCUUCAAACGAUCCCAUUUUCCUCUGGGUUCAGCCCUAAACCCACCUUUAUACAUCACAGAUACGGAAGUGGACGCCAAGGUAAGGACAAACCUUCACCAUUCGGUUCCAAGCAGAGUGGAUUAAGAAACCAGCAAGGACAAACCCUUGGCUUUGAUUCACUCAGCCGGUGGCAGAGCCAAUAAUUUUUCUUAGAACAAGCAUUACAAUAACCCUGGAUGAAUUUUAGAAAUUGCUGAAAAUGAGUAACUUUAGACUUUAGUCAUGAAUAAAUAUAACAUAUCAAAUUAAAAAUUAAAAAUAGAUUUUAUUAACUUACUAGUUAAAAAUUGAAAUUUAAAAAGAAAAUCUUCAAAAAAGUUAAAAAAUGGGAAGAAAAUAAGAAAUCUUACUAGUUAUUUCUCAAUAAUUUUAAUAAUCUCUUCCUAGUAAAAAGGAUCUUUAAAAAAUUUAUUUUUUUUCCAAAUAGCUACAUACAAAUGAGUUGGAAGUAAUAAAAUAUUUUAUUAAUAAUUUCCUAUGAUAUAGUAAUUAUCGUUAAAAUUCCAAGUAAAAUAUAAAUAGUUAGUUAGAGUUUGAUAUUUAUUAUUAUGUAUUAAGGUACCCUAUUCUAACAAAAUUCUAGAGCACCCAAGAGGUAUUGUUUGGAAGAUUUACUAGUAAUCAUUGGAUUUUUUAUUUCAAUCUUCAUAAAGUAAUAGCAAGAACCAAAACUAAUUAAAAGAACUUGAUUAUAAGGUUUUGGUUAACAAUUUUUUUUCCAAAUAUUAUGAGGUCUACGCUAUAUAUUUUUUGAGAUUUACAUUGACCUUUGAAGAUUUGAGAUUAUCAUGAAAUCACAUUUAAAACCAUUCAAGUACAAUUGAAUUUGUUUGGGUGAAUAAUAACAUUAGAGGAUGUACUUCGAGUUUAUUGUAUGAUGAAACUCUUUUGAGCGGAAAAAAAAAACCAAUUUUGCACAUGAGUGCAUGCUUGAGACUAUUUCUGUAUAUAUUUGUCAUUUUUUAUUUGUGUUAUUGGUUGAGCUUACCAAGGUUUUCAAAGUAUAAAUAUACCUUAUUUUGUCAAAUAUUUUAAAUACAUACCAGAACAAUAUUAUCAUUAUUUCCUACACAUUUCCAUCACUUUCAAGAAUAUCAUUCUUGACACAAAUUUGUGCAUGGUGGUUAAUUAUACAUCCUAUCAAGGCAUUGAGGAGUUUACAAAAGAACAUAAUGUGUUGUAUAUAUAGAGGUGAAGACAUAUGUAAGUGCCAGCCCCUGACCUAGGAAAAUAGAAUGUUUGUUUCAUAUAAAUUUAUGUAUUUGCUCUUUCGUAUUUAAUGAAUUUACUUUGUUAGUGUCAAAUUGGGUCUGUGUUUGAUAUUUGUCGAGUUUUUAGUAGAAUGUAUGAGUGAUAUAUUUAUAGAGCUUAUAGUAAACUCUAUGGGUGAUUUUCUAUGUCUAAUACAUAUCUUUUGUGCGAUUGGAAAUCAUGCAUGUUAAUAUCAAAAUAUCUCAUAUUAAUUCAAGAAAUAUUUUUUGUGAAAAAAUUGAACUUUAAAACAUAAAAUCAUUAUUACAUAUUCACCCUCCAUAAAUAUCGGGAAUCAAGAUUCAUACUUUCAAUGGGUAUCAAAGCAUAUUGAAUUUAAAAAAUUAAAAUCUUUUAUUCCUACACAAUCUUGAUUCACGGAACCACAAGGACCAGAUCAUCAAUGAAAUUUUAUCAUUGCUUUAGUACUCGACAAUUUCUGUGGGUAGGAAUACAACUUGAGUAGGUUGGGUUGGGUUGGGUUGAUGGCGAUUUAACACAUUUGGGUUGGGUAGGAAAAUGUCUUCAUUGUUUCAGUGCUUCAACAAAGGUUUGGAAAUUCUUGUAAGAAGAUCCACCUUCAAUCACACUUUUUCUAGCCAUUUCCUUCAACUUCUCUGCAUUUGCUUUUAUACCAUCAUCAGAAACCAACUUUUCGAUCUUCUUCUUAAUCUCAUGCCUUGAUAUGAAUCCAUUUUCAUCUGGGUUCAACCCCAAGCCCACCUUCCAUUUGUCGCAUAUGUAACUCUGAUUAUGGAAUUGAUCUGCAAAGUAGGGCCAGCAUAGGAAGGGGACUCCCAUGCCUAUGGCGUCCAUGGUUGAGUUCCAUCCACAAUGGGAUAAGAAACAGGCAACAGAAGGGUGAGCUAACACCUUUUCUUGGGGUGCCCAUGAAACAAUCUUUCCAUUCUCAGCAACUCUCUCUAUGAAAUCAGGGUAUUCAGCAACUGAUCCAUCGGCGAAGUCUGAUCGGACAACCCAUAAAAAUGGCCGGCCUACAAGUUCGAGACCAAGUGCUAGUUCAUUGAAUUGGCGCUGGUUGAAGAUUGCUAAGCUGCCAAAGGCAACAUAAAUGACUGAGCCAGCAGGUUGUUUAUCGAGCCAGCCUAUGCAGGUCGAAUCCUCAUGCCAAAAGUUUCCAGCAUAAUGACCCAGAUGAUGACUUGCAAGCAAUGGACCUAUUGAUAAUAUGUUAGGAAUCAACUCACAGGCAGAUGAGUCAAGUUCGUAAACAGAGUUG